rnacentral:rRNA from 1 species
UACGUAGGGGGCUAGCGUUGUCCGGAAUCAUUGGGCGUAAAGAGCGUGUAGGCGGCUUGGUAAGUCCGCUGUGAAAGUCCAGGGCUCAACCCUGGAAUGCCAGUGGAAACUGUUGAGCUAGAGUCCGGAAGAGGCGAGUGGAAUUCCUGGUGUAGCGGUGAAAUGCGCAGAUAUCAGGAGGAACACCAAUGGCGAAGGCAGCUCGCUGGAACGGUACUGACGCUGAGGCGCGAAAGCGUGGGGAGCGAACAGG